UUGAACUUAGAUUUUCUUAAUUGAUUUAUUUACUAGGCUUUGAUUGGUAGUUUUGUUUUCAUUUUGCCAUACUUGGUAUGAUGUAUUUGUUCUAAUAGCUAGUCUCUUUUGAAGGAUGGGAAAUAUCGUGAAGCACUUGGGAAGUGGGAGGCGGCUCUUUAUUUGAUGCCUGAAAAUGCAGUUUUGUUUGAACAGAAGGCACAAGUUCUACUUGAACUUGGGGAUGCAUGGAGUGCAUUGAAGGCAGCGUCUUGGGCAACUGAAUUGGAACCAUCAUGGGCCGAGGCAUGGGUCACUCUUGGUAGAGCAAAAUUAAACUUUGGAGAGCCUGAUAAUGCCAUUGAGAGUUUUGAC